UACGUAGGUGGCAAGCGUUGUCCGGAUUUACUGGGCGUAAAGGAUGCGUAGGCGGUCCUUUAAGUCAGAUGUGAAAUACCCGAGCUUAACUUGGGUGCUGCAUUUGAAACUGGGUGUCUAGAGUGCAGGAGAGGUAAGUGGAAUUCCUAGUGUAGCGGUGAAAUGCGUAGAGAUUAGGAAGAACACCAGUGGCGAAGGCGACUUACUGGACUGUAACUGACGCUGAGGCAUGAAAGCGUGGGGAGCAAACAGG
rnacentral:rRNA from 1 species